rnacentral:lncRNA from 1 species
AACGCUCACAUCCAUGCUCACUGAUGAGUUGCUCUGAUUUGAAGGCAGCCUUCUCACUGUUGUCCCAUCAGUAGGGCACAGUGAUGAGGAAAAUAACAGCGACGGAAAAAACACAUAUUACUGCGAUUCGUUACUGUUUCUUCCAUCACCUGAUAUGGUCAAAGUAUGUUUUUUUUUUCAUGUUCACUGCUGCUCAUUUUCCUGGAUCCAUUUCUUACGCGAAAGCAAUGAGGCUUGUUUUUUAAAUAAUUCUGUUUGAAUGGAGGUUGUGGCGUGUGGUGACAAGCUUGAAAGGGAGAAAAGAGCGUUGUAGUUUUCAAACCUUGGAAGAGCGUUGUGGGGAGAA